UACGUAGGGGGCUAGCGUUGUCCGGAAUCAUUGGGCGUAAAGAGCGUGUAGGCGGUCCGGUAAGUCCGCUGUGAAAGUCGGGGGCUCAACCCUCGAAUGCCGGUGGAUACUGUCGGGCUAGAGUACGGAAGAGGCGAGUGGAAUUCCUGGUGUAGCGGUGAAAUUCGUAGAUAUUCGGAAGAACACCAGUGGCGAAGGCGGCUCACUGGCCCGGUACUGACGCUGAUGUGCGAAAGCGUGGGGAGCAAACAGGAUUAAGAAACCCUGAGUA
rnacentral:rRNA from 1 species